rnacentral:lncRNA from 1 species
AGUUACCUACCUUAAGGGACUUUCUUUACCAAAGGCCAUGAGGAUGACAAACAAAAAGGUUAAUGAUCACAAGUACUAUCAAGAUGACACUGGUGAGGAUCAGAAAAGAACCCAGGAUUGGCUCUAAAACAACAACCUGGAAAGAGACAAUAAAAUUUUGAGUUUAAACAUUGUCAGUUUAAUUUCUACUUUAAAAAUGUAAGUUAUAUGCUUAUGUUUGGGAUAUAGUCACAUAAAAUAUUUGGUGGAAACUUGGAGAAGCAAAAUUAUUAAAAAGGAAAAUACUUUUGAGUGGACAGAAGAGAAAGAAUGAUAGACUGGGUGGGUAUAAAAAUAAUUGACUUCAGUGUUUUCACAGGUAAACAGGUGAGUCACAAUAGCACUAUAAUUCAAAACCCAUGUGAGUUUUGGCAGUUCUGGAAAAUAUAAACAUGGAGGUUUGAAAGAGUAGCAAAAGGUUACUGAAAAAAUACAUCAGAAAUCCUGAAAACUGUCUCUGCCGUUCUAUGACCUCUACUUUAAACACAGGAGCAUUCUAAUAAAAUUUAACAGGUUAACCAUAAAAACUGGCUUUUUAGUCUUUUUUUCUUUUUAUUUAUUUAGAAAAUCCCAAGCCGGGCUCAAACUCAUGAACUGUGAGAUCAUGACCUGAGCCAAAAUCAAGAGUUGGAUGCUCAACUGACUGAGCCACUGAGGUGCCCCUAAGUUGGUUGGUUUUUUUUUUUUUUUUAAUGUUUAUUUAUUUUUGAGACAGAGAGCAUAGUUGUUUUUUUAAGUGUUAUCUUUAAAAGUGUAAUUGCUGAGUUUUGCUAGUCUUUUCAGCAUAAAGACAUCUCUCAGAUACAGGGUUACUAGAGUGGUUUCCAUAACAGCAUUUUAAUUUACAUGUUCAUUUUAACAAAUGAUGCACUUUUUCCCUUGAUAUUUUGGCUCAUUCACUGUUGCCACUAGGGUACUGUUAAAAAAACAAAACAGCCCAACAACUUAGAGGGUGAAUGUUUAUAAUAAAUACCACUGUGAUGGAAAUAUGUAUGACCAAAUAUAUCCUAGUAACAAUACAUCAUCCACUUAAAAGUGCUUAAUUAUAGCUACUCUAUCUAAGUCAACAAGUAACUUGGGACAAUCUCAGAUUGUGCUGUAAGACUUUGCCCAGUAAGUAUACUCCAUUUUCCCUUCACAUUGUAUAUGAUUAUGAUUAAAGCAGAAAAAGAGUUAAGUCAAAAAGGAGGUGUUAGCAAAAGCUUAUUGUUGUGAUUGUUACUUCCUUAAGAGCUUUAGUAAAUAAAGUGUUCCAAGAGUGACAGCUUCACUCCCUAAUUUGAAUUGUAGUUUUUUCUGUCCUAAUCAAAUCUAUAUAUGCUAGGGCUACAAAUCCUCAUCUAGGUUUCCUUGUUCUAUCUUUAAGUAGGCUCCGCACCCAAUGUGGGACUUAAACUCCUGACCCUGAGAUCACGAGUCACAUGCUGUACUGACUGAGCCAGCCAGGCGUCCCCCUACUUUAUUUUUUAUACUUUUUAUACUGACUAGAAGAGACUUGUGUUGGUAGUUCUUAGGGGGAGAAUACAAGCUGUCUGAAAUGAGCAUUUAUUAACUAUAAACAAAUAUUGCAGUUCUUUCUGGAAUUAAUAUCUGCCAAAUUUUCUUAAAAGUAUACUUCAUUGUAUACUUAAAAGGGCCAUUGAGACAGAAACAGCAAAUAAUGUUAAUCUCGGUAGGUUAUGAGAGUAUAAAUUGAGGCCUAGUGUCCUGGCAAUAAGUCUAAGAAUAUAAGAAAUGAGGAAAGUGGGACUAGGUGCUUGAAAAGGGCACAUUUCUGAAAGUAACAGCCACUCAAAUUGUAUUCAUAGAUAGCACCAUAAAAUGGAAAGGCAAAGGAUCUACACUCCCUUUUCCAGUGUGCAGUGGUGCAGAAAGGGCUGCUUUUUUUGUAAGCAAUUCUCCCCUUAAGUAUAAAUAACCAAAUAGAAUCCUGCAGGAAAACCGUGAUGGGGUUUUUUACCUCCUUGUGAUGAGAGAUUCCCAUCUUGAGACCAACAGCAGUCACUGCUGAGCUGAAAAAAGUUUGGUAGUCCCAGAUGCUCCAUCCAAACAGCAGGUUAAACUGGAAAGGACAAAGACCAGUCAGGAGAGGGUAGACCGUAAUGAAGCUGGUUUCAGUUCUUUCCCUCCUGGGGUGCUUGAUAAGGAGGCCAACACAGAACCAAAGAGAAUGGAAAUGAAAGAAAUGCUUUAGUGGCCAUUCAAAUCACUAUGCCUAAAAGAAACCCUCCCCCACCAACACACACACACACACACACACACACACACACACACCCAUAUUUCCUUUUUAAUUACGUAGUGUUUUCAUCAAUUUAUUUGACCUUCACACCAACCUGUGAGCUAAAUUUUAGGAGAUGAGACAAAUUUCUGCAUUUAAGUCUCACUACUAGUUAAGUAUGGAACUAUAACUAAAAGAUUUCUUCACUCUUUUCUCCAGAACUCAUUGCUAACUUGAACUAAUGGUUUCUCAUACAGUGCUUUUUCAGGGAGGCAAUGUGAUUCCAAGGCCAGCACUGCUUUUAGGAAAAGGCAGUGCGAACGAGGGCUUACAGCAAUGGCAUAGCCUGUCAGCAGGAUUAGGAUGAAUAGCAGGAAGCUGUCCCAGGGUUUGCUGGGUGCUCUACUGACGACCUGCAGCCUGGGGUUAGGAUCCAGCAGGUUCCACAGCUGAACAGUUGCCUGUAGAACCAGGAAGCCCAUGAGGUGAACGACUGCUGAGUUUACUUUUAUUGCCUCAUGGAAGCUGAUGAACCUGUACCCAGCAAGGCUGACAGUCACUCAGGUGAAGUGUAUGCUAUCCACUUCUCCAGCUGAAGUGGCAUCUCUGCAAGUCCUAUUGGGUCAAACACUUGUUGAUGUCAGAACUUUUCAGUGUCGCCUCUGGUACUUGUGGAUGUGAGAGCACCGGCAAAAGGCCAUGGAUUUGGUUGGGAGAUCUCCAGAAGCCCUGAAGUGCAACCCCUAGGAGAUUACUCCAAAUUCAUCCUGCAAAUCAAGGCCAGCCUCGUCCACUGCUCCGGUUUGAGUUAAAUCUCUCCUCAAAAGGAGAGGAGUUAGCCUAAGGAGAUGUGCCCUUAUGCUGCUCUGUUUUCUGUAGGAUAAUUAAUAGGUUUAACAGUGCUGAAAGUAGAAAGAUGAUAGGUAAACUAGACGGAAGGGUGUUAUAUGAGAAAUGCAUUCACAAUCUUGUAUUGCAACUUGGAAAGACCCCAUAGAGCAAGUUGGUGUCUGAUCAUAAACUGUUCUAGUGUCUAAGACCUAGGCGGUGCCAUACAGCAAGAUGGACCUCAACUGUCAACACGAUUUAACUGCACAGACACACUCCCUACAUAAACAACCCUCUGUAAGUCUGACCUGGAACAUUGCUUCAUUACACAGAUCAACAAUCCAGACUAGUGACCACUGAAAAAGUCAAGUACCACAUGGCAAUACUUGGCCUGGGAAAUAGAUGCUCCUCCCCAUGGGAAAGACCAGAGAAGGUGCCCAAAGGGGCACCAGAUGUCUCUUAAGUAAUGGACAAGCUAAUGCAUGAACAUCCCUACCCAGAAAGCAACCCUCUUUGGAUUUAAAAAAUGCACUGUGUUGCAGUUUUAUUUAAAGCAUGAUCAUUUGUCAUGCCUUAGGCUUUAUUCUUUGGUCAGGGUGCAAAAUAUAACUAAUUCCAGGUCCUUGCUGUGUGAAAUUUGAAUGUAUUAUCCUUGACAAACACAUACCUAAGUAUUAGGAAGACAGAGGACAUUUUCAAUAUGAUUAGCAGUAUAAAUGGUUUCUUGUUAACUCUUCUCAGCUGUGGACAUUAGUCGGAGUUCUGUUUUUAACUCUGGUAUACAAAUAUAGGUCUGAUAGAGCAGUGGAGGAGGAAAGGGAGUUUGAAAGGAUACUUGUGAGUAAUCAGGAAACUCUGGACGUUGACUAGGAAUAGGCUUCGCUCCUUAGUCUCCUUCUUACCUGUUACGGUCAUAGUGGUAUUGUGCUAUGUUUUUCUUAUGCAGAGAAGUAAGCUUCAUGUCAAGACCCAGGAUGACAGCUAAUGAGGCUUAUGCUCGUGUCCAGGAUGUUUCUUUUCCUAGUGAAGAACCGCCACCUCUGCUGUUUCAGCCAAUGACCCUAAACACAGACGCCACAGUCACUACUGCUUGCCUUAAAGAUUAGCCAGGUCUCUCCCUAACGAAGUAUUUUAAUACUGGCAAAACACUAAGCUGAGCACUUGUCAAAUCUAACUUGAACACACUGGGUUAUGGUCUUGGUCUGCUCUGUAGUAACUCAGAGCCGCUGCUUACAGAAAAGUUCGCCUUUUCCACUACAACUUUCAUUGGAUACAUUAUUUCAUUUUUGUUGUUUACAUUUUAAAAAGUUUCCAAAUUAGUUUUCAGGCCUGAAAAUAAGACAGGUAUUGGCUUACGACAGAUUCUCUUUUGGUGCAGUUACCUGUACUUUUGAAUACUUGCUCUCUAUUUAUUCAUAUUUUCAAUUCUUGCUAUUACCUUAUAUAGGGAUAAUGCAACUGUACACAAAAAAUAUUCCUUCUAGAGAUUAAUCCCUUAGCUCUUGAAAACUGGAAGAGCUACUUGAUGGAAAGCCAGUCCCCUUUUAACUGAAUUCAGGCUCUGGAAAGGACCAAAGUCAUAGCCCUAAUUCUAAUAAUAGCUCAUUGUAGAGCUCCCCUGAUAACAUCUGGAAACUUCAAGAAUCUUUUACAUCUAACACUUUAAGUUCACCUGUACGAAGGUGUAGUAACAGACUAGGAGAUAACAGAGGACUUGUGAGAUAACAGACCAAAGUCCUUCUUGGAUGCCUGAAGGGAACUUAAAUGUCCAGCCUCAGAGAGGUGAAGAAGGCACCUGAGAACAAAGAAUACCUGGAGUCAAGAGUCUUUAAAGCUUGUGCCCUCUUCCUUUCAAACUCUGUCUUUGAAAUCAGUGCAACUAUUCCUGGAUUAUCUAUUACAAAUGUUCCUGAAUCUCUACAUUUUACUUGGUAUUUCCUCUAGAGCUGUCACUGGAUAUUAGCUGAGAUCAUGUAUGUGUUGGAGAAAUGUGCUGGCUGCACUAUCAAUAGAGUGAAUGGGUAUAUUGGUGACCUGACCAUGAGGGCAGUGUCUGACUUCACAGCUAUUAAAGGUGUUAUCCUUGCCAAGCCAAAACAGGUGCAGAGAUACACUGACUAGUUGUACUCUCGCAAUAUGAUGUUUGGAAGAGAACUGAUGACCGUGAUGUAAAGUGUGGGGAGAAGGGAACACUACUUAAAAUACACUUUCAGAAAUCAGUAUGCUUUGAGCCAUUUCAAAUUUACUAAGUGUAAAGCACUAAUAUCCCAUGAAUACUAACAGUAUCCUGUGAAUACUCAGAUGUUUCUAUGAUAGACUAAAAAGCCUCAGAUUCCACCCAGGACAGUGAGACUGUUGUGUAUAAAAUCAUGACAGGUCUUGUGACUAUAAACUUUCACAAGGCCCCAAAAUAUUAGAAUUAAGAUGUGUCCCUUAGUAGAAAGUACAUUUAAAAAUAAAAGGAAUUCCACUUCACAGAGUUACCUCUUAAGACUGGGACUUUCCCACGUUUACCCCUUUUUAUUAUUAUUUUUUUUAAUUUUUAUUUUUUGGGUAGUUACUACUAAUGAAAAAUCCUAUGAAGACCCACAGGAAGCCUUCACGCUUCAUCUAGAAAUAAAUAUAGGUCUAAAAUUCCUGAUUAAACGCCUGAUAGUAAAAUGGAAGGAUACUGGGGGGCAAAUUCUGGGGAAGAUAAAGAGAAAAUGAAGUUUGAUGAGGACAGACUUCCUGUUAAACAUAGGGGAAUUGAACAUACUAGUUUCCCUCUAAUCUCAUAAAAAGGCCACUACAGUAAUAGUGAAGGCAUAAAGAACAACCCAAAGAAAAAAAGAGAGGAGGGUAGAGACAGCAACAAACUGCUGGAAGCUGGACAACAGAAGGAUGACACUGAAAGCAGAGUCAAGAAAGCUGAAACCUAAAUCAGCUGUGUAGAAAACCCAGAAGCAAGACUAGAAAGGAAAAUUACAGGCAUCAGAUACUUUUGAAGGUAAUGUCAGGUGGAACUGAAAAUACAAGAAUUGAUCGCAAGAUACCAGAUUUCCUUCCUCAUCAUUUGCAACGAGGUAUUAGCUACCCAUCCUACCUUCCACCACCCUAAAAUUAAAGGUUUAUUUCCUACUGAUGUUGAACUAGAGAGAAUCUGAAGUCAGGGGCACCAGGUAUGAUCUACUAGAAAAGAAUUAAGAGAAAGUUUUUAUACCGCUUGGUGAGAUGCUUCCCAGGCCCCUUUCUCCACAGGCUCUGAGAGGUCCAACAAGCCUAUAUCCUCAGGGCAGGAGUUUGGAGGGUCCCUCUAUGUGAAAACUGUCCCAUAGACCUAGAUAACAGUUGACAAGCUCUUUCCAUAUGCAAAUAACUUCUAAAUAGCAUUUAUUUGCUUUUUACUGUCCCCCUCUUCAAUAUGAAAAGCUGGCCACAUAUUUGAACCUCUUACACUGAAAACUGGAGAUCAAAACAAAACAACAAAUCAAAAAAUAAAAGCUUGGCAGCUCUUUCUGCCCAAGGGUCCUGCUGUCUCUGUACUUUAGUAAAAUCACUAUAUAAAUAAAUAAAGCUCGGAGGCAUCAGAGAAAGGGAGCAGGGGAGGAAAAGGAAACAAACCCUGUAACGUCCUCACAGUUCAGAGGAUACUGCAUCCAUAAAAGAACAGGACACUAUGAAAAAAAAAAAAAAAACAAGGGCAAACAAUUCUUAAAAAUUGAAAUAUAAAGAUGAAUGCUUCAAUUCUAAACCAUUUCCAAACCAUUUAUUGAAUUUAGUUCCCAGAAACUAGAAGAAAAAAGAUGGAAAAGCAAAACCAAGAAAAUCAAAGGAUCAGUCUGGUCACUCCAAUGUCAAAAUGCCAGGAAUACCAGAAAAAGAACAGAGAAAAAUAGAGAAGAAAUUAAUAGAAGUCUGUAAGAAAAUUUCUCAGAGCUUCAGGACACAUUUCCAGAUUAAAAGACUCACCUUGAAGAGAGAAAAUUCUAAAAACUUUUGAGAGCUGGGGGCAUCAAACAUCGUUAUACAUCUUAACAACAACCUGAGAAGCUAGAAAGCAAUGGAGCUAUACUUUUCAAAUUCCGUGAAGACAACUGUUUCCAGACUUGUUAGCCAUCAAAUGUUAUGGCAGAAUAACAUUUUGAGACAUGGAAGGCUUCAAAAAAUUUACUACUUUAGCACCGUUUUUACUAAUUUUGCACCCUUGCAGUAAUUUCCUGGAUGAUGUGCUCUAGCUUAAAUGAUAAAGUACAGCAGCAGAGGAAAAAUGGGAUCGAGGAGAAAGAUCCAGCAGAGGAGAGAGGUCAAGAUAAUCCCUAGGGAGAUUCCAGGGUGAGUGCUAUAAUGCAGAUUACCUAGAAGAUAACCAAUCUUUACUGUACCAAAAAGAUGGAGGGCCCUAGAGAGGUCCUUUUAUCUUUUAAAGGUUAAAAUGAAGGUUACUUGACACUUUUUGAACAGAAUGAGAUUUUUACUUUUGGAGGAGUUUGGAGAUGACUCAGUGAUAGAUCCAUGCAAAACCAAAUGGAAAAAAAAGAGGGGGAGGUAAUUAUAAACUCUAAGGAAAAAGCUGUAGAAGAAAAGAAAUUUAACUAAUAUGUUACAUGGCUCAUCUUUGAAAAAUCAUUUAUAUAGUCACAAUUUAUGGUUAGUUUAAUAUUUAUUUUCAUUAUUACUAUAUUGGGAUAAGGAAAGAGAAAAGGUGUGUAUGUGUGUGUUAGGGAUAUGCAUUGGAUAUAAGAAAGUUAAAUGUUCAUCAGUAGAGGAAAAAAGAAAUAGAUAAUACCUAUAACUAAAAAUUCAUGAAAUAGUUAAUCAUGUUAAUUUUUAAAUUUCAAAGAACCAGUUUAAAAAGCUGGAAGGAGCUGUCUCUGGGAAAGGCCAUGAGGUGGGGAAGAAGAGAGGACUGCUAGUUUUUGCCUUGAACUAUUUGACUUUUAAUAACUUUAACUUUUUUUGUUUAAUGUUUUUAUUUU